rnacentral:rRNA from 1 species
AGGACGAACGCUGGCGGCGCGCUUAACACAUGCAAGUCGAGCGAGAACCGGGGCUUCGGCCCCGGGGACAGCGGCGAACGGGUGAGUAACACGUGGAUAACCUGCCCUCGGCACCGGGAUAGCCCGGGGAAACCCGGAUUAAUACCGGAUGGCCCUUCCGAUUUUCGAGUCGGUCGGCAAAGGUAGCUUCGGCCUCCGGCCGAGGAUGGGUCCGCGGCGGAUUAGCUUGUUGGUGGGGUAAUGGCCUACCAAGGCUCCGGUCGUAGCUGGUCUGAGAGACGAUCAGCCACACUGGGACUGAGACACGGCCCAGACU